rnacentral:tRNA from 1 species
CGUAAAGUAGUCCAAUUAGGAUUUUGGCUUUGGAAGCCAGUGGUAGGGAUUGAAGCUCCCUCUUUUCGA